rnacentral:rRNA from 1 species
CUACGGGCGGCAGCAGUGAGGAAUUUUGCGCAAUGGGGGGAACCCUGACGCAGCAACGCCGUGUGAGUGAAGAAGGCCUUUGGGUCGUAAAGCUCUGUCAACUGGGAAGAAGUUACUGUGCUUUAAUAGAGUGCAGUAUUGACGGUACCAGUGGAGGAAGCGUCGGCUAACUCCGUGCCAGCAGCCGCGGUAACACGGGGGACGCAAGCGUUAUUCGGAAUUAUUGGGCGUAAAGGGCGCGUAGGCGGUCUUGUCGGUCAGGUGUGAAAGCCCGGGGCUCAACCCCGGACGUGCACUUGAAACAGCAAGACUUGAGUACGGGAGAGGAAAGCGGAAUUCCUGGUGUAGAGGUGAAAUUCGUAGAUAUCAGGAGGAACACCGAUGGCGAAGGCAGCUUUCUGGACCGAAACUGACGCUGAGGCGCGAAGGCGUGGGUAGCGAACGGGAUUAGAUACCCCCGUAGUC